UACGGGGGGGGCAAGCGUUGUUCGGAUUCAUUGGGCGUAAAGGGUGUGUAGGUGGCGCCGUAAGUCGGGUGUGAAAUUUCGGAGCUUAACUCCGAAACUGCAUUCGAUACUGCCGUGCUUGAGGACUGGAGAGGAGACUGGAAUUUACGGUGUAGCGGUGAAAUGCGUAGAUAUCGUAAGGAAGACCAGUGGCGAAGGCGGGUCUCUGGACAGUUCCUGACGCUGAGGCACGAAGGUCAGGGGAGCAAACGGG
rnacentral:rRNA from 1 species